GGGGGAUAGCAACAGGGGCGUUUUCCUUUAAAAAAACAAAAAAAAGGUCCUAUCGUCCAGGUCUCUCUACACCUUCUCCUCCUUCUGUCCUCCACCUCCUCCACUCCAGGAGUUUCAAGUCGAAACACACGUUCAGAGUGAACGGUUACCCCACCGGUCUGUAAGGCGUGGGGGUAUAAAUGGCCGACCCUUCUCUCUGAUCCAGCACAGUCAACCUUCCGACAUUGUUUAGAAUCGGUCAGUCAACUCACUUGCUUUUGUCUCACGUCAAAUUUCUUUGAUCAACAACGGAAGCUAUUUACUUCGAUCAUCUCUAAAUUAUGAUUUAUUAGUACAAAGCAUUCGUGUUAAUGAAGAACUUCCCUCUCUCAAGCUACGACUUGCUGCUGCUACUUAACGCCAAUUUAAAUAAAAACCUACAAUCCCUCCUAGGCAGCCGUCUGGGAAACUCAGGCAAUCAGAAAGAAUUAAGGGUUUUGACGCUGCUUCACUACGUUCCUUGAGGUGAG